rnacentral:rRNA from 1 species
UACGAAGGGGGCUAGGCGUUGCUCGGAAUGACUGGGCGUAAAGGGCGCGUAGGCGGCUCAUACAGUCAGAUGUGAAAUUCCUGGGCUUAACCUGGGGGCUGCAUUUGAUACGUGUGGGCUUGAGUGGGGAAGAGGGUCGUGGAAUUCCCAGUGUAGAGGUGAAAUUCGUAGAUAUUGGGAAGAACACCGGUGGCGAAGGCGGCGACCUGGUCCAUUACUGACGCUGAGGCGCGACAGCGUGGGGAGCAAACAGG